rnacentral:rRNA from 1 species
UUCGGACUGUAGGCUGCAACUCGCCUACACGAAGUCGGAAUCGCUAGUAAUCGCGGAUCAGCAUGCCGCGGUGAAUACGUUCCCGGGCCUUGUACACACCGCCCGUCACACCAUGGAAGUUUGCAAUGCCCAAAGUCGGUGGCCUAACCAUUUGGAGGGAACCGCCUAAGGCAGGGCAGAUGACUGGGGUGAAGUCGUAACAAGGUAUC